GAGUUACCAAUAGUUGAGUUGGUGAUCGCUGUGCUGUUAACAUUAGCCGUAAUCUUGGGCAGAACUGGACUCGUCCAGGCCAAAGCAGUACCUGCAGCAACCGCACCCAAGCAAACUAUAUUGACGGGUUUUUGAAGUCUUCACCACACCAUCCUGCAGGGGAUCAUAGAGCAUUGGAUUGUGAGAGUUUGGAUCGCCAUCCUCCUGACUAACAGUCUGUAAUGAAAAUAGAUUGGAUUAAUGUUUAUUAAACAUAAAUUCUAGGUAUUGGUGAAGGGGAAUUUCCUGGAUUACUUUCAAAAUGAUUACAAUUGCCUCUGUCUUUGCACUUUUUGUUACAAUAAUUACGUAUGUUGCCACAACUAUUUGGACAGCAUUAAAAACAAUUUACACCUGUAUAAAAGUAGCCCGAACCUUAAAAAAAAUUCCAACACUUGGCGAUGUCAGCUAACAAUUUCAAGAAACAUCCAGGCAAAAAAUAAGCAAUGCCAAAGAAACUUCAAAGCAAAAAAUUAACGAAGCUAAAAAUCUUCUUAAGAGAAAGUAACAAAACGAAAGAAAUAAAAAUAAAUUAAAUUUAAAGCUUUAAUAAGUGAUAUAGACCUCUAAGUACACUUUUGACGUUAAUAAAUUUAAGGAACUUUGUUAUAA